rnacentral:rRNA from 1 species
UACGAAGGGUGCAAGCGUUACUCGGAAUUACUGGGCGUAAAGCGUGCGUAGGUGGUUUGUUAAGUCUGUUGUGAAAGCCCCGGGCUCAACCUGGGAAUGGCAAUGGAUACUGGCAGGCUAGAGUGCGGUAGAGGGUAGUGGAAUUCCCGGUGUAGCGGUGAAAUGCGUAGAGAUCGGGAGAACACCAGUGGCGAAGGCGGCUACCUGGACCAGCACUGACACUGAGGCACGAAA